UUCAAUAUACAUGCCAAAAGUUCCAAUCUCACUCUAGGGCAAUAUAUCAGAGCAAUUCUAAUAGUUUACAGAGGAAUGAACCUUUUUACCAACCAACACUUUUGUAACAAUGAAGCGAGGAAGGCGAGAUGGCCCGGUGGUGGAUUUCCUGUGCACGCUAGAGCCUGGGGGCGCAAAACAUUUGAAAAUGUGAGUGGACAAAAAUAAAGGUUCAUAAAGUAUCCUAAGAAUAUACUAACCCCCAUUGUAAAAAUAAUUAAGUAAAACUGAAUAUAUACUCUGUAUUUGAAGUAUACUAAACUCAUGGCAUUCACAUGCUGAAAUCACGGUAUUUAUAUAUCUAUAUAAAUAUAUAUAAACGUAUUCAAGAUAAAACUUGCCUAAAAGCACUGAAAUUAAAACUUGCAUAAAAACACUGUACUCAAACUUGCAUAAAAGCAAUGUACUCAAACCUUGCUUAAAAGCACUGCAAUCAAUUACAACUACCACUCGGAUGUACCCCUGUAAUUCCGUCAAUUCCCCUGGCAGGUCUCGGCGACACACAGUCUAUCCGAGCCGCAAACUGGCACGAUACAAGGGACUAAGUCAGCCUGAUCCGCUGGCAGGUCUCGGUGACACACAGUCAACCCGAGCCGCAACUAGCAGGAUACAGGGGACCGUAGUCAGCCUGAUCCGCAAUCCUGGCAGGUCUCGGGACACCAAGUCAAUCCGAGCUGCAAAUCCUGGCAGGUCUCGGUGACACCAAGUCAAUCCGAGCGGCAAAUCCUGGCAGGUCUCGGGACACCAAGUCAAUCCGAGCCGCAAAUCCUGGCAGGUCUCGGGACACCAAGUCAAUCCGAGCCGCAAAUCCUGGCACCCAUGGUCCGGGCGAUCCCGAAACUCGUGAGGCAAAUGUCAAGUGCACUAACAAAACUGAGGGUAAAUUGGAUGUCGGUAGACAUCGGCAUAACUAAGGGUAAUAACCAUAGAUGGGUACUCACGGUGGUUUAAAAUAUAUAACAUUUCUGGAAAAUCUGCUAAAGAACUGAAUGUUUAUUAAGUCAAGAACUCUACUAUCAUCAGAAAAUAUAAGGUUUCUAAAAAAUCUGAUACAUCUAUGCAUUUCUGUUAAAUCUGAAACUGUACUGCCACUUUAUCUGAUAUAAAUCUCAAACUCUGCUUUCUAUAACUCUUUAGCAUAUCAACUAAGCAGCAUAUAAAUAAGAUAUUUAACUUCACAAGCAUACUAGGAAAAAUCACAAUUAAUAAAACUUAUUCAAGAUCAAAUAAUAAAACUCAUUAUAUAAACUCAUUUAUAUAAAAUCAUUUAUGAAAGAAAGUCCACUCACUCCUGGUCUGAGCUAGCUAGACCUCCUGAAGGUCUC
rnacentral:lncRNA from 1 species